rnacentral:tRNA from 2 species
AGGAAGUUAGCUCAGUGGUAGAGCGCCGGACAAACCCGUCCGGAGGUCAUCGGUUCGAGUCCGAUACAUCCUCU